UACAGCCGCGCGUCGUCGAAAACGCCACGUCCUGUGGCAUCGACGACAUGACUCACAUCCUGUGAG
rnacentral:sRNA from 1 species